CGGGUACAACGAGAAGCGAACCUGCGAAGGCAAGCGGAUCCCUUAAAGCCGUUCUCAGUUCGGACUGUAGGCUGCAACUCGCCUACACGAAGCUGGAAUCGCUAGUAAUCGCGGAUCAGCACGCCGCGGUGAAUACGUUCCCGGGCCUUGUACACACCGCCCGUCACACCAUGGGAGCCGGUAAUACCCGAAGUCAGUAGUCCAACCUCGUGAGGACGCUGCCGAAGGUAGGAUUGGCGACUGGGGUGAAGUCGUAACAAGGUACC
rnacentral:rRNA from 1 species